rnacentral:rRNA from 1 species
UACGGAGGGUGCAAGCGUUGUCCGGAUUUAUUGGGUUUGAAGGGUGCGUAGGUGGCCUUAUAAGUCAGCGGUGAAAGUCUGCAGCUUAACUGUAGAACUGCCAUUGAUACUGUAAGGCUUGAGUACUGAUGAGGUAGGCGGAAUUGAUAGUGUAGCGGUGAAAUGCAUAGAUAUUAUCAAGAACACCGAUUGCGAAGGCAGCCUACUAAGGAGUUACUGACACUGAGGCACGAAAGCGUGGGGAUCAAACAGG